UGCCCUGUCUGUUCUGCCCACAG
rnacentral:miRNA from 1 species